UACGAAGGGUGCAAACGUUGCUCGGAAUUAUUGGGCGUAAAGCGCACGUAGGCGGCUUAGCAAGUCGGAAGUGAAAGCCCUCGGCUCAACCAAGGAAGUGCUUUCGAAACUGCUGAGCUUGAGUAGUUAAGAGGAUCGCGGAAUUCCCGGUGUAGAGGUGAAAUUCGUAGAUAUCGGGAAGAACACCAAAGGCGAAAGCACUUUGCUGGGCCGAAACUGACACUGAUAGACGAAAGCUAGGGGAGCAAAUGGG
rnacentral:rRNA from 1 species